UUGUUUCUUCUUUGCCCUAUUCCU
rnacentral:piRNA from 1 species